rnacentral:rRNA from 1 species
GACGUAGGGCGCGAGCGUUGUCCGGAUUUAUUGGGCGUAAAGAGCUCGUAGGCGGUUUGUUGCGUCGGGAGUGAAAACCCAGGGCUUAACUCUGGGCUUGCUUCCGAUACGGGCAGACUUGAGGUAUUCAGGGGAGAACGGAAUUCCUGGUGUAGCGGUGAAAUGGCGCAGAUAUCAGGAGGAACACCGGUGGCGAAGGCGGUUCUCUGGAAGUUACCUGACGCUGAGGAGCGAAAGUGUGGGAGCGAACAGG